UACGGAGGGUGCAAGCGUUAUCCGGAUUUACUGGGUUUAAAGGGUGCGUAGGUGGGUAGGUAAGUCAGUGGUGAAAUCUUCGAGCUUAACUCGGAAACUGCCAUUGAUACUAUUUAUCUUGAAUACUUUGGAGGUAAGCGGAAUAUGUCAUGUAGCGGUGAAAUGCUUAGAUAUGACAUAGAACACCAAUUGCGAAGGCAGCUUGCUACACAGUUAUUGACACUGAGGCACGAAAGCGUGGGGAUCAAACAGG
rnacentral:rRNA from 1 species